rnacentral:lncRNA from 1 species
CAAGAAAUAAUCAUGUUCUUCUGUUGUGCUUGAAGGAACAUCUGGACCAUCAAGCGAGUAGCAUAAAUAUUGCAGUUGCGCCUGGAGCAAUGGUCCGCCUUCUAAGCGUAAGGCCUGCUUCUUGAAGGUUGACGUCGGUAGAGUAUUGGUGAAUAAAUCAGCCAUAUUAACUCCAAUGAAUAUAUUGCACCUUGAAAAUCCUCACUAU